UACGGGGGGAGCAAGCGUUGUUCGGAUUUACUGGGCGUAAAGGGCACGUAGGCGGUCGUGACAAGUCACUUGUGAAAUCUCCGGGCUUAACUCGGAACGGUCAAGUGAUACUGUCGGACUAGAGUACAGAAGGGGCAACUGGAAUUCUCGGUGUAGCGGUGAAAUGCGUAGAUAUCGAGAGGAACACCUGCGGCGAAGGCGGGUCUCUGGGCAACAACUGACGCUGAGGAGCGAAAGCGUGGGGAGCGAACAGG
rnacentral:rRNA from 1 species